GCGCUGGGAGAAGCGGACUCAGCAGCUCCGGCCACAAAGGCGCUUUUCAGCCGCCCCGGCUCAGGGAGAGGAAAGGGCAGAAAGCCGCGCCCCCAAUCCCUGCUCCGUCCGGAUGCAGCCCAGAAGGGCGUGGGAGUAGCACCUGAGAAUAACGGUCUCCUUGUGCGGAUCUGGGGAGCCCCCUGCAGGGUGGCAACCAGAGGAAAGGGCCACAAUGUUCCACGGCCAAGGAGGAAAGAAGGAAUGCCCCUUUUCCCAUCUCUAGGUAGGAGGAAGGCUUCAGGGCAGAAGCAAAAGGAAUUAUUUCUUCCCUGGACAGGUUUUCCUAACAAAGUAACCUGGAAAACUAUGGCAAUUAAUCAGAGGAAAUCCGUACCCCUCCCUCUCCCCCCACCUCCCCACUCCAUACACAAUUAGGUGGUGUAAUGGAAAGUAUAUAGGGCUUAGAAUCAGGAGUCCUGAAUUCUAGUCCCAGCCAUGCCACUUUAAAUUGUGAGAGUUUAAAUUGCUUUUCCUCCUGGGGGAAGUCCAGCUCUCAGAUGUAAAAUGAGGGUGGCAGUGGGGGUGGGGAGGGUUGGAGGAAUGUCAUCUCUCAAGUUUUCUUUCAGUUCUAACAUUCAAGAUCACUGGCCAGGCUGGAUGAAGUGGCUCACACCUGUAAUCCAGCACUUUGGGAGGCCGAGGUGGGAGGAUCCCUUGAGCUCAGGAGUUCAAGACUAGCCUAGGCAACAUGGCAAGACCCCGUCUCUACAAAAAAUAAAAAAUAAAUCACUCGCCAGAGGUGGUCCUUCUCUUCCACCUCACUCUAGGUGGUUCCAAUGCUCAAAAAUGGUAGUUGAAUUUAUCCUAAUUAUGUAAUUCCAAGGAAAGCCCCUGAGAUAGGCAGAGCUUGGAAGACUUAGGAGCCCUCUGAUUCUCAGGUGGGUCCAUCUGUUAUUCUCACUGAGGAUUACUUUUUAACCCCAAGAUUAUCGUUUAGACCCUAGGAUAGCCCUAGAAUAGACCCUAGAAUAGAUGUGUCCUGGUUCUAGGACACGUUUCCCAUGCCAAAAGCAAUGUCUGCCCAGCCCCUCCUCAGGUAGAUGGUCUGGUGACCUGACCCUUGGCCACCCCUGUCCCAGCCCUUUUCAGUCUCUUCUUUUCGGCCCACAGAGCUUUUCUACAAUCAGGUCAGGAGCCAGGCUUCUGUCUGCUACCUAGCCAGCUCCUGGCCCCCAGCUCACCCCAGCCCUUCCUGCCUGGCUGGGUGGCUGACCCCCGGUCCACGCCUCAGCCAUUUCCCGUCUCGCCUGCCGCCAUCCUCCUUUCCCCGCCCUCGCUGCCUCUACCAGCUUCACUCUCACUAGUCAGUCCCUCCUCCCCUCCCCAUCCCAGACUAUUCUAGUCGGGAGCCGUCCUAAUUACUCUGUCCAGACUGCAAGGAUUUUUCCCCCCCCUGGGGCUGGUGACAAGGGAAAUCUCUAAGGCUAAACUCUCUGUAGGUGAAGCUGGACUCACCCACCUGGGCUGCCAUAGGAAAACGGAGGAGCUGGCAGUGCCCCGGCGCAGGCAUCUAAUAGCUGCUGUUUUUCAAAUGAAUGACUUCUCAGUUGGAAGCUGCUGAAGGGCAGUGGACACUCAAAAGUCUUUGUAAGAGGUGAGGAUCACUUCCCUUAACCGUCCAUCUAGGCACCUCUCCAGCUUUCUCCCUCUCUGGACUCCCGGGGCUCCAUUUUCAGCCACUCAGAUCUCAUCUCAGAGGCACCACGUCCAAUUUCUUUUGUUUAGAAGUCAUUUCUUCUAAGAAGCCUUCCUUGAUGUCCCAACACUGCCCACCUGUGUUCCCUCGAGAACCAUUACUUAACUGCAGUGUUAGAACAGUAUUAGAAUUAUCUGGCACCUUACUAGACAAAGCAAUCUUAAGCACACACAUAUUUAUCAUGUAUCUCCAAGGUUAAGUGCCUACUCUACAGAAGGGUGCUUUGCAAGCAUUUGUGGAAUCUACACUUUGUGUUUCAUAUUCACCCUCCCCUCACCACACUCUAUGGCUAGUACUCAUAGCAACUUUGUGUACAUCAGAAAAAACCAGGCCAGGCACAGUGGCUCACUCCUGUAAUCCCAACACUUUGGGGGCGAGGCAAGGACUGC
rnacentral:lncRNA from 1 species